AAGAUGGCGACCGGCGCACGGGUGAGUAACACGUAUCCAACCUGCCGAUAACUCCGGAAUAGCCUUUCGAAAGAAAGAUUAAUACCGGAUGGCAUACGAAUAUCGCAUGAUAUCUUUAUUAAAGAAUUUCGGUUAUCGAUGGGGAUGCGUUCCAUUAGUUUGUUGGCGGGGUAACGGGCCCACCAAGACUACGAUGGAUAGGGGUUCUGAGAGGAAGGUCCCCCACAUUGGAACUGAGACACGGUCCAAACUCCUACGGGAGGCAGCAUG
rnacentral:rRNA from 1 species